GCAAUAUUGGGUCAGGAUCGGGUAAUCUGCAUCCUGAGGUCUAGAUAAGUAUAUCUCCGUUGCAGCUAGUCCUCUGGUUGCAGAUUACUUCUUCCUCACUGCCAAUGC